rnacentral:sRNA from 1 species
CUUUGACGAUGUCAUUCCGCUGCUUGGUUUCCAUAAGAACAAUGAUGUUUGGAGAGAAUUUCUUCUUGAUCUCCUUGAGACGUCGAACUGCGAGGUCAUUGCCUAGUCCUCUACAGUUCCAAGCGGCUGUCCUUAUGGAGGUAGAGGUGGUUCUGGGC